rnacentral:rRNA from 1 species
CCUACGGGUGGCAGCAGUGGGGAAUAUUGGACAAUGGGGGCAACCCUGAUCCAGCCAUGCCGCGUGUGUGAAGAAGGCCCUCGGGUUGUAAAGCACUUUCAGUGAGGAAGAACGCCUGGUGGUUAAUACCCAUCAGGAAAGACAUCACUCACAGAAGAAGCACCGGCUAACUCCGUGCCAGCAGCCGCGGUAAUACGGAGGGUGCGAGCGUUAAUCGGAAUUACUGGGCGUAAAGCGCGCGUAGGUGGCUUGAUAAGCCGGUUGUGAAAGCCCCGGGCUCAACCUGGGAACGGCAUCCGGAACUGUCAAGCUAGAGUGCAGGAGAGGAAGGUAGAAUUCCCGGUGUAGCGGUGAAAUGCGUAGAGAUCGGGAGGAAUACCAGUGGUGAAGGCGGCCUUCUGGACUGACACUGACACUGAGGUGCGAAAGCGUGGGUAGCAAACAGGAUUAGAUACCCUGGUAGUC